GGCCAGGUAGCUCAGUUGGUAGAGCAGCGGACUGAAAAUCCGCGUGUCGGCGGUUCGACCCCGUCCCUGGCCACCA
rnacentral:tRNA from 1 species